rnacentral:rRNA from 1 species
CCCUUUGAUACUCUGGGCGGCACGCGCGCUACACUGGUUUAUAUAACGUGUAAUUUGGACGAUAGUCUGUAUAAAUCACUAAUAUAAAACCGUGAAUGGGAUAGUUUAUUGCAACUUACAAACUUUAACUAGGAAUCCCUUGUAGAAGUAGUGAAUUAUACUGCUUCGAAUACGUCCCUGCCGAUUGUACACACCGCCCGUCGUUUCUUCCGACUGGUACUCAUUGUGAAUUGCGAGGAGAUUCUGUCAAAUCGCUGUAAAUGCUGGGUAUUGGAGGAAGAAAAAGUCGUAACA